AACGGGUCUACAGGAACUAAUGAUUUCUGUGACUUAAAGUGUGGUCCUGCGAAGAAGACUGAAGACCUGGAUCUUAGAAGAAACUGAAAAAAAAUAUGAUGUCACCCAUUGUGUGAGCUGCUAACGAAAAUCGUGUGAAGACCUGUAUGCUACAGUGACGCUGUAGUCUUAAGGUACCAGGUUCUUGGAAUGGAAUGCCGUUUGAUCUGGGAAGGAAAGAUUUAUCAGGAGUUAAUCUUCAUUUGCUUAAGUACACACUGUAAUCCAGACCACUGUGCAGUAUUAAAGGAUAAUCUUAUUAAUCUAGGAACGAAAGAAUAUGCCAACAUCAUCUUUCUUUGAAAUGUAGCUUUCAGUGCAGUCAAACUCGGAUUAUAAUUAAAUAUUUUAACAUUGUG